GAAUCAAAUCAUGUUUGUAUCAAGGCGCUAUCUGGUGUACAAUAUAAUGCACCACAUCGUCGACACAGGCAACCCUAAAUAGUGGUGGGUAAUGAAUGUGAAUCCCUACCUAAACGGGUCGAUUGAGCUCGCCCGUUCACAACCUUGCCAGUUGCAAGAAGAGAGUCAAUGUGAACAGAUCGCAGAAACGAGGCAGAGAGCGUCAGAGUGAUCGUGAGGCCUCCCUCGUCCAGUUUGAGUCGGAAAAGAUUGGAAAAGAGUCAGUGAGUGUCAAAGAUCUAGUGAAACCCGUGCAAAUUUGGAAGUAUAUUAGAAAGUUUGCUUAUUGUUGGGCUGGUAAACUGUUUUAAUGCAUCUCAAAAAUUCCUGUCAGUGGAAAAGUCUUGUUUCGAAUAGUGUAGUUUUUAAAAUCUCAUCAAUUGAUGCGAAAUACAGUAAAUCUAGAAAUUCAAAUCGUGUAACAAAUGUAUGUGAUUGGCAAGAAGAAGUUAAAAUAGUACUAUCUUCGUAAUUUGAUGUUACAACUCAUGAAAAAUUGGAAAAUACAGUCAAAGGGAGUGAGAUAGCCCGAAACGUAGAAAGGCAAGCGCCAAUCUGAUCUUGUUGAUUCAGUGUGCAAUUCUUUGCUCGCAUUAGUUAAAAGAGCGCGACAACGGCCCCUCACUACUACACACGCACUUGCUACGAGUUUUGGAAGUGUUUCCUACAGAUUUUACAUCACGUAAAUUUGUACUGUGGAAACAGUUGACGAACCUGCGGAGAAGAACGCCUAGUGAAACCCAAACUGUUGACGCAUACAAUCUCACGUGAACGUACACUCACACACACACAUGUUAAUACACAUCAAUAUGAGUGUAGUGUGCUAGCAAGAGAACAAAGAAACGGACCUUUUGCGUCAAAAUAACAGGGAUAACGAGUGUGUUCUUGGAAAGCUGCAGUGCUCAAGGGAGGUAUUUACCGAUUCCAUACAAUUUCUGUGAUAGGGUUCCUUGCAUUUAUGCAUGAGGAACCUCUGGAAAGUAUUUGUGAAAAGUUGAAUAUCCAUCCCUCAAGUUGAAAGUGAAAGGUAAUCAAAAGAAAGACACUGAACUACAGAUCUAGUGGUGUUUGCUUGGAGUAAAAACACGUA